UACGGGAGGCAGCAGUGAGGAAUAUUGGUCAAUGGGCGAGAGCCUGAACCAGCCAAGUAGCGUGAAGGAUGACUGCCCUAUGGAUUGUAACUUCUUUAUAAGGGAAUAAAGUGGAGUAUGUAUACUCCUUGUAUUCGUCCGA
rnacentral:rRNA from 1 species